ACUUAAGUGGCUAAUACCUACUACUUUCGUUGUUUAGGAAACAGUUGGGCAACAGACUUACAAGUCUGGGUGAGCCAAAUCAGUUCAUAGUGUUGUUGUGUCAAAGUGCGAACCAUUUAAUUGUUUGAUUCUAUUGAGAUUGAGGUUGUAGAGUUGUGCGUUGACGUAAUAUGCAGAAAAUUCUACUCACCCGAGCCAACCCCACGACAUUCAUCAAAGUAAAGGCAGCAGGUAAGAACUUUUUUUGUACCUAUCGCGAAUUGUAAUUUCAAUUGCGAAUUGCCGACUGAUUAAGUGCCCCAAUUCGCAUUAGCAAUCGUUUCAUUAAAUUGAAAGUGUUGGUAAUUUGCGCGCGUUGGUUAGGUAACGUUGGGUUCCAGCUCUGCGUUCCUUCGUGUGUGUGGUUAAUAUAAGUGGUUUUACAAGAAUCGAAAACUGUUCAAGUAGCUUCUGCUGAUGAAGAACAAACAACUAAAAAAGUGAAUUGAAUCAUUCAUAGUUUAGCCACAUGCAUCCUGAAUAAUUAUCAACCCAAACCUGAGCCUGUCUGAACUUUUC